rnacentral:misc_RNA from 1 species
GAUGAAGAACGUAGCGAAAUGCGAUAAGUAAUGCGAAUUGCAGAAUUUCCGUGAGUCAUCGAAUCUUUGAACGCACAUUGCGCCCACUGGUAUUCCGGUGGGCAUGCCUGUUCGAGCGUCAUUAUCCUCCCUCAAACCCCGGGUUUGGUGUUGGACCCAAGUUGUGUGAACAACUGGUCUUAAAAACAAUGACGGCGUCCGUGGGACCCUCGGUGCAACGAGCUUUUAGGAGCACGCAUCGAGUUGCAAGGACCUUCCGGGCCGGUCUCCUUUACUAUUUUACAAGGUUGACCUCGGAUCAGGUAGGAAUACCCGCUGAACUUAAGCAUAUCAAUAAGCGGAGGA